rnacentral:rRNA from 1 species
UACGUAGGUCCCGAGCGUUGUCCGGAUUUAUUGGGCGUAAAGCGAGCGCAGGUGGUUUAUUAAGUCUGGUGUAAAAGGCAGUGGCUCAACCAUUGUAUGCAUUGGAAACUGGUAGACUUGAGUGCAGGAGAGGAGAGUGGAAUUCCAUGUGUAGCGGUGGAAUGCGUAGAUAUAUGGAGGAACACCGGUGGCGAAAGCGGCUCUCUGGCCUAUAACUGACACUGAGGCUCGAAAGCGUGGGGAGCAAACAGG